GACAGAUGCUAAUUGGCCAGUGGCUUCGAUCACCACCCAACACAUUGGAAUUUUUCCUUAGCCAAGUUGCAAGAGUCUUUUUUUUUUCUCUAAUUACACCUGCAAAUUAAUUUACUGAAUAGUCAAAUCUACAGACAAAAAGGAACAAUUUUAAAAGAGCUGGAAACAAAAAUAUUUUUUCAUUGCAAAUUCAUGUAUGUCAUGAGGCUGUUGCAGUAAUUAAGGAAUUUAAUAUUUUGAGGCAUUAUGAAACAAAUCAUGGACACUGCAAAAAAAAAAAUCAGAGGACGGAGAAACUGAAGCAGCUGGAAGCUAUCCGGGCAGAAGCAACAGAGAACAAACAGGGAAUCGAGUAAACACACAUACAUUCAGAGAGCCUCAGAUGAAUCUCUGCACCAUAAGGGUCAAGCAUGAAAGACUGAACAGUCCCAGUGAAUUAAUGUUUACAGACAUUUUGCUGCAAGAUCUGCUAUUUUUGAACAAGGACAGGUCCUGGAUGUGUGCUAAUGCCAAAAAAAGAGGACAACAGCAGUGAACACAGUGAGCCAAUCUUAGUAGACACUGCUAUUUAGGGUAUAUGCUCAGUGGGAGCUUAUUUUAGGAAGAAACAGCAUACAUCAUAUUGAGUUAAGCUGAAUAUACAGUAGCUGAUUGUACCGUGCACUGGCUGUGCCUCUCUUCAGGAACAAAAUAAUUUACCAAAGCAGAAGCUCUGUGUAUAUUUACAACCUUAUCUUUUAUAGUCUGUAUUCAUAAAUGCAUGACUAAAAGUAAAUAGACUAAAAGUAUGUAGACUCACUCUAUUUUUUUCUGUAUUGUUAGGAUACAUAUCUUAUACUUAGUGGAUAUGAAACAGUGGUCAGAACCUACCAUGAUAUAUAACAUUCUGUUGAAGGUCAAGUCAAAUUUAAAUAGCCUUAAACUUUGAAAUUCAACAGUAGAAAGUGUAUUUGGGUUGUGUUUGUAUAGUCUCCAUUAGCCUGCCUUAGCCUACCUGGAAAUUUCUCACAGAUUUAGCCGACACAUUACCGGAAAUAUAGGGAAUCUGUAAGGGAAUUCUGUGUUGUUCAUCUGUUUCUUCUGAAGUAAUUUGUCAAUAAUAUAAUAAAAAAUAAAUAAAAUUUAUAAUACAGGCAUUUGAUUUUCAUUAAUUCAUUAACCUUAACCUUUAUCCUGAUCAGGGUUUUGAGGGAUAUCCCAAGAACACUGGGUGUAGUCUGCUGAGUUGCAGAAUGAUUAUUAGGGACUAUACUAUGAAAUACCUAUGGAGCCAAUACAUUAAUUAC